GACGAACGCUGGCGGCGUGCUUAACACAUGCAAGUCGAACGGAAAGGCCCUGCUUUUGUGGGGUGCUCGAGUGGCGAACGGGUGAGUAACACGUGAGUAACCUGCCCUUGACUUUGGGAUAACUUCAGGAAAUUGGGGCUAAUACCGGAUAGGAGCUCCUGCUGCAUGGUGGGGGUUGGAAAGUUUCGGCGGUUGGGGAUGGACUCGCGGCUUAUCAGCUUGUUGGUGGGGUAGUGGCUUACCAAGGCUUUGACGGGUAGCCGGCCUGAGAGGGUGACCGGCCACAUUGGGACUGAGAUACGGCCCAGACUCCUACGGGAGGCAGCAGUGGGGAAUAUUGCAAAAUGGGCGGAAGCCUGAUGCAGCAACGCCGCGUGCGGGAUGACGGCCUUCGGGUUGUAAACCGCUUUCGCCUGUGACGAAGCGUGAGUGACGGUAAUGGGUAAAGAAGCACCGGCUAACUACGUG
rnacentral:rRNA from 1 species